AUGGGAAUGCUGGGAACACAAACCCGAUCCCAUGGAAAGCUGCAGAAAUGCCGGGGACACACAGUGGAUCCCAUGGGAAUUCUCUGGAAAUGCCGGGAGCACGCAGCUGAUCCCAUGGGAAUGCUGGGAACACACAGCCAAUCCCACGGGAAUGCUCUGGGAAAGCCAGGAACACGCAGCAGAUCCCAUGGGAAUGCCGGGAACACACACAUUUCCCAUGGGAACGCUCUGGGAAAGCCAGGAACACACAGCAGAUCCCAUGGAAAGCUGCAGAAAUGCCGGGAACACGCAGUGGAUCCCAUGGGAAUGCUCUGGGAACACGCAGUGGAUCCCAUGGGAAUGCUCUGGGAACACACACGGCUGAUCCCAUGGGAAUGCUGGGAACACAAACCCGAUCCCAUGGAAAGCUGCAGAAAUGCCGGGAACACACAGAGCCGAUCCCACAGGAAUGCCCUGGGAAUGCCAGGAACACGCAGCAGAUCCCAUGGGAAUGCUCUGGGAAAGCCAGGAACACACAGCGGAUCCCAUGGGAAUGCCGGCACACACACAUUUCCCACAAGAGUGCUCUGGGAAUGCCAGGAACACGCAGCAGAUCCCAUGGGAACGCCGGAACACACACAUUCCCCACGGGAAUGCCCUGGGAAAGCCGGGAGCACACACGGCCGAUCCGAGAGGAAUGCUCUGGGAAUGCCAGGAACACGCAGACAAUUCCACGGAAAGCUGGGAAUACGCACAGCAGAUCCCAUGGAAAUGCUGGGAACACACAAAGCCAACGCCACGGGAAUGCUCUGGGAAUGCCAGGAACAUGCAGACAAUUCCAUGGAAAGCUGCAGAAAUGCUGGGAACACACAGAGCCGAUCUCAUGGGAAUGCUCUGGGAAUGCCAAAAACACACAAUGGUUCCCAUGGGAGUGCCUGGAAUAUGCACAGCAGAUCCCAUGGAAUACACAAAGCCAAUCCCAUGGGAAUGCUCUGGGAAAGCGGGGAACACGCAGCUGAUCCCAUGGGAAUGCUCUGGGAACACACACGGCUGAUCCCAUGGGAAUGCUGGGAACACAAAGCCGAUCCCAUGGAAAGCUGCAGAAAUGCCGGGAACACACAGUGGAUCCCAUGGGAGUGCCCGGAAUACGCACAGCAGAUCCCAUGGAGUACACAAAGCCAAUUCCAUGGGAAUGCUCUGGGAAAGCCGGGAGCACACAGCUGAUCCCAUGGGAAUGCCGGGAACACACACAUUUCCCACGGGAAUGCCCUGGGAAAGCUGGGAGCACACAGCUGAUCCCAUG
rnacentral:lncRNA from 1 species